AACUCUUUGGAGACAUCCGAUAAAGUUGGAAUGAUACAAAGAAAAUCAGCACAACCCCUGUGUAAGGAUGACACAUAAAUUGAGAAAUGGACCAAAAUUAU